CAAUGAACAUUUGAAAUCCAGACAAUAAAACCGAGGAAAUAAAUUUUUAAUUUUACCUAAUGUUAACUUAUUUUAAUUUAAUGUUAAUUUUUAAAAAAAAACCUAAAUAUUUGAACUUUAAUAGCUACUGGCUUGGGCAGCGCAGCUCUGGAACCAAAGUAGCUACUCCUAUUUUGCAGGAAUUUAGAAUCCAAAGGGAUGAUGUCAUAGAGUGGGUAGCCAACAGGAGGCGAGCUUGAGAACAAUUACAAACUAUUGCAUAAAAUUCAAAAUUAUACAAAAUACAUCUAAACAUUGAGAUCAUCUAAUGAAGUGAUCUGUGUGGGAUGAGGUUAAUGGAAAGAAAGCAUUCAGAGAAAAUAGGAUUUCAGGAACUGUUAUGGUGGAGAAAGGAAGAGCAGAGGCAAGUGAAAGAAAAAGGACCAUUUGGAGGAAUAGAAAACCUGUGUGUUGGAAUGUCUAAUGGAGAGCCAAAGCAAUCUCGCCAUUGUGGAGUCCAGAGCACCCAGGAUGACUUCUGAAUCUCUUCUGCUGCCCUAGUUUCCCUAAAAGAUUCCUUGGCAAACCAUGUGAACGAAAGCAUGACCAUUAGAAAAAGGGCAUUUUAAAUCUCUGGUCUUUUUCAAAUUAAAAACAUACAAGGGGCAC